rnacentral:lncRNA from 1 species
AACAAAUAUAAAACAUUUUCCGUGUUGAUAUACGAAUGGAAAUUGGGAAAACGAGAAAUUGUGUGGAAUACCGUUAUCGAUCCGACAUGGCGCAAAUUGAAUGGUGUGAAAAAUUGAAAAUCUUCCUCAAUGUUCUUAAAAUUACUAUGGGAAAUAAGGAUACAGUUGCGCGUUUUUCAUGUGUACGUUCACGCACGGAAAAGUUGAAAUCUCUUUAAAUGUUACUUUUGAAAUAACUGAAUGAUUAGAAAGACAGCGCUUUUAGUUUUGUGUAUGAUUUAAAGUUUGUUGGUUGAGUUAAUCGGUAAUUAUAUAAAAUUGAGGAUGAUUUCAACUUUUCCGUGCGUGUACGUCCGUAUGAAAAACGCGUAACUGGAAUGCAGCCUUUAGGAUCCAGAAUCAUGACAUCCACUUUUUUCCAGAUCUGGUUGGAAACCUUGGUGAAAGGUGAGCCAGUUGGGAUAAAGUCCCGAUGCAAAGUGCUCACAUAGGAAAACGCUGUCCCGUGACAAUUAGCCUUUCUCACGCCGCCAUUUUUGGGUGGCUUUUCAGCCGAAGUCUGCGAUAUAAGUCCACAUAAUAGCGAGCGAAUUUUUUUGACGAAUGAUGGUAAAUUUGCUUUUGUAAAUGGUUAGUUUAUUUUGAAAAAUUGCUUUUUACAUUGUUUUAAUUGUCUGCAUUGGUUAACGAGAACUAGAUGCCACCCAAAAAUGGCGGGAUUCUAGUGACUAGGGCUGUUCGGUAUACCGAUAUACCGAAAAUAUCGGUAAUCAAUAUCGGUAUAUCGAUACCGGAUAUUCAACCAUACCGAUAUACCGAAAUUUCGGAUAUACCGGAAUUUUUCGGUAUACCAUGUUAAAUUUACCAACUAUAUGACGAAACCAUAACCUUUAUUUUACUACUGAAUGGCAAUUCAAAGAACUUUCUACUGCAAUGAUUUAGAAUUUCCACUUCAGUGAGAUUUUACACUGAGUACGUGCAUGCCGUUCGAAACAUGUUCGAAACAGCUUCGAAAUUAUCGUUUUCCCUUUUAGAAUUACUCAAAUUUUCAAACUUCCAUUAAAGACUUUUCCUUCAUAAUUAUCAAAAGAAAACCGGCAUACCGAUAAUAUCGGUAUAAUUUUUUCGGUAUACCGAUACCGGAAAUUUCUCAUACCGAAUAUUCUUCUACAUCGUGAGAAAGGCUGAUUGGUCCUAAAAUUAGGUAGGAAUAUAUUUUAGUUUUCCUUACGCGUUAUUGACCCAAUUCAAGAUGAAGACAUAAGGAAACAUGAAUGGUGAAAUAGAAAUGGCAUGUAGUAAAACACUGACUACCGGAACACCACCGGAACACCACCAGAACACCACC